CACACAGUAAACGAUGGAUGCCCGCUGUUGGGCCAACUGGUUCAGCGGCCAAGCGAAAGCAUUAAGCAUCCCACCUGGGGAGUACGCCGGCAACGGUGAAACUCAAAGGAAUUGACGGGG
rnacentral:rRNA from 1 species